rnacentral:rRNA from 1 species
UACGUAGGGGGCAAGCGUUGUCCGGAAUCAUUGGGCGUAAAGCGCACGUAGGCGGCCCGGUAAGUCCGUUGUGAAAGUCAGAGGCUCAACCUCUGGAGGCCAAUGGAUACUGCCGGGCUAGAGUCCGGAAGAGGCGAGUGGAAUUCCUGGUGUAGCGGUGAAAUGCGCAGAUAUCAGGAGGAACACCAAUUGCGAAGGCAGCUCGCUGGGACGUUACUGACGCUGAGACGCGAAAGCGUGGGGAGCAAACAGG